GAUUUCUGGCCUGAAACAUUUUGCCGGCCACGGUUUCGUGUGUUAGUGCUUGAUGUUCUGGCCAUCCUUCCAAUUGCUAUUCACCUUUCUUCAUUGAUUGGUGAGUGGUAUUGGAUCUUUUACUUUGAAAAAAUUAGAGUGUUUCAAGCAGGCUUUAUGCUAUGAAUACAUUAGCAUGGAAUAAUAAUUUAGGACUUCGGUUCUAUUUUGUUGGUUUCUAGGACUGAAGUAAUGAUUGAUAGGGAUAGUUGGGGGUGCUAGUAUUCAGCGGCCAGAGGUGAAAUUCUCGGAUUCGCUGAAGACUAACUUAUGCGAAAGCAUU
rnacentral:rRNA from 1 species